CCUAGGGCGGCAGCAGUGGGGAAUAUUGGACAAUGGGCGAAAGCCUGAUCCAGCCAUGCCGCGUGUGUGAAGAAGGCCUUCGGGUUGUAAAGCACUUUCAGUGGGGAAGAAAGCCUUGGGGCUAAUACCCUCGAGGAAGGACAUCACCCACAGAAGAAGCACCGGCUAACUCCGUGCCAGCAGCCGCGGUAAUACGGAGGGUGCGAGCGUUAAUCGGAAUUACUGGGCGUAAAGCGCGCGUAGGCGGUCUGAUAAGCCGGUUGUGAAAGCCCCGGGCUCAACCUGGGAACGGCAUCCGGAACUGUCAGGCUAGAGUGCAGGAGAGGAAGGUAGAAUUCCCGGUGUAGCGGUGAAAUGCGUAAAGAUCGGGAGGAAUACCAGUGGCGAAGGCGGCCUUCUGGACUGACACUGACGCUGAGGUGCGAAAGCGUGGGUAGCAAACAGGAUUAGAUACCCCAGUAGUC
rnacentral:rRNA from 1 species